UACUGGAUGUUUGAUCAAGGUACAAAUACUGUUGAAUGGAUUAGCUGCAUGGGAAUUUUCCUGUUCUCCUUAUAUAUAAGUGAAUACAAGACAGUUUCCCAUUAGACCUUCUCAAAGGCAUCCCUUUUGCUUGAACUAACUCCAGAUUUACGAUUAAACUGGUUAGAUGAUAUUCCCUAUUUCACUUUGGGCGAAAAACCUAUGUUUGCCAUCAAGGAAAAGAUCUGAAUAAACGUCAAAAGGAAAAUUAUGCUAAAGAAAAAAAUGAAAAGUGUCAAACUGAUCAUGCUUUUGGUAAAGCAUAUUCCAAGAACCAGACAACUAAAAAAGUUAAUUGUCCAGCUGUAAUUAAUGUUACCCGAAUGUACAGGAUGCCUCAGUUCA